rnacentral:rRNA from 1 species
CAGUCGCCGCGGUAAUACGUAGGUGGCAAGCGUUGUCCGGAAUUAUUGGGCGUAAAGCGCGUGCAGGCGGAUCGGUCAGUCUGUCUUAAAAGUUCGGGGCUUAACCCCGUGAUGGGAUGGAAACUGCCAAUCUAGAGUAUCGGAGAGGAAAGUGGAAUUCCUAGUGUAGCGGCGAAGUGCGUAGAUAUUAGGAAGAACACCAGUGGCGAAGGCGACUUUCUGGACUGUAACUGACGCUGAGGCUCGAAAGCCAGGGGAGCGAACGGGAUUAGAUACCCCGGUAGUCCCUGUCUCUUAUACA